UACGUAGGGCGCAAGCGUUGUCCGGAAUUAUUGAGCGUAAAGAGCUCGUAGGCGGUUUGUCGCGUCUGCUGUGAAAACCUAAGGCUCAACCUUGGGCUUGCAGUGGGUACGGGCAGACUAGAGUGCGGUAGGGGUGACUGGAAUUCCUGGUGUAGCGGUGGAAUGCGCAGAUAUCAGGAGGAACACCGAUGGCGAAGGCAGGUCACUGGGCCGCAACUGACGCUGGAGGAGCCGGAAAGCAUGGGGAGCGAAACAGG
rnacentral:rRNA from 1 species